GUGCCGGUGGUGUAAGGCGAACAUCGCUGCCCGGAAAGCAGAAGAUGCGGGUUCAAGCCCCGCCUGGCGCA
rnacentral:tRNA from 1 species